AACGAACGCUGGCGGCAGGCUUAACACAUGCAAGUCGAACGAACUCUUCGGAGUUAGUGGCAGACGGGUGAGUAACGCGUGGGAACCUACCUUUAGGUACGGAACAACAGUUGGAAAACGACUGCUAAUACCGUAUGUGCCCCUAUGGGGGAAAGAUUUAUCGCCUAAGGAUGGGCCCGCGUUGGAUUAGCUAGUUGGUGGGGUAAAGGCCUACCAAGGCGACGAUCCAUAGCUGGUCUGAGAGGAUGAUCAGCCACACUGGGACUGAGACACGGCCCAGACUCCUACGGGAGGCAGCAGUGGGGAAUAUUGGACAAUGGGCGCAAGCCUGAUCCAGCCAUGCCGCGUGAGUGAUGAAGGCCCUAGGGUUGUAAAGCUCUUUCAGCGAGGAGGAUAAUGACGUUACUCGCAGAAGAAGCCCCGGCUAACUUCGUG
rnacentral:rRNA from 1 species